rnacentral:rRNA from 1 species
AUUGAACGCUGGCGGCAGGCCUAACACAUGCAAGUCGAGCGGAUGAAGGGAGCUUGCUCCUGGAUUCAUCGGCGGACGGGUGAGUAAUGCCUAGGAAUCUGCCUGGUAGUGGGGGAUAACGUCCGGAAACGGGCGCUAAUACCGCAUACGUCCUGAGGGAGAAAGUGGGGGAUCUUCGGACCUCACGCUAUCAGAUGAGCCUAGGUCGGAUUAGCUAGUUGGUGGGGUAAAGGCCUACCAAGGCGACGAUCCGUAACUGGUCUGAGAGGAUGAUCAGUCACACUGGAACCGAGACACGGUCCAGACUCCUACGGGAGGCAGCAGUGGGGAAUAUUGGACCAUGGGCGAAAGCCUGAUCCAGCCAUGCCGCGUGUGUGAAGAAGGUCUUCGGAUUGUAAAGCACUUUAAGUUGGGAGGAAGGGCAGUAAGUUAAUACCUUGCUGUUUUGACGUUACCAACAGAAUAAGCACCGGCUAACUUCGUG